rnacentral:rRNA from 1 species
AUUGAACGCUGGCGGAAUGCUUUACACAUGCAAGUCGAGCGGCAGCGCGGCCUUCGGGCUGGCGGCGAGCGGCGAACGGGUGAGUAAUGCAUCGGAACAUGCCCAGUCGUGGGGGAUAACACUUCGAAAGAAGUGCUAAUACCGCAUACGUCCUGAGGGGGAAAGCGGGGGAUCACAAGAUCUCGCGCGAUUGGAGUGGCCGAUGUCAGAUUAGCUAGUUGGUGGGGUAAAGGCCUACCAAGGCGACGAUCUGUAGCUGGUCUGAGAGGAUGUUCAGCCACACUGGGACUGAGACAAGGCCCAGACUCCUACGGGAGGCAGCAGUGGGGAAUUUUGGACAAUGGUGGCAACCCUAAUCCAACCAUUCCGCGUGAGUGAAAAAGGACUUCGGGUUGUAAAGCUCUUUCAGCAGGAACGAAACGGUGGGCUCUAACAUAGUCCGCUAAUGACGGUACCUGAAGAAGAAGCACCGGCUAGCUACGUG